UACAGAGGGUGCAAACGUUGCUCGGAAUCACUGGGCGUAAAGGGCGUGUAGGCGGGAAGGAAAGUCGGGCGUGAAAUCCCUGGGCUCAACCCAGGAACUGCACUCGAAACUUCUUUUCUUGAGUGCCGGAGAGGAAAGCGGAAUUCCUGGUGUAGAGGUGAAAUUCGUAGAUAUCAGGAGGAACACCAGUGGCGGAAGGCGGCUUUCUGGACGGUAACUGA
rnacentral:rRNA from 1 species